CAUAAGGCGCCGCGCUACCGCGGCGCUUAAAACACGAAAUACAGCUUCCCGCAGCGCUUAAUUAUCCCGCGCGGUGCCUCAAUUAUUAGCGCAGCGUCUUAAAUCAGUAAGCGAUUUCAUCCCUGUGAGAUACCUCAGGUAAAUAUCGAUCGGGGAAGUUUAUGAAUACACAGUGUAGCUAGCUGUUUACCGUGUACUGAUAAGGGUUUAAAGACGACACGUGUUGGUGGAAGUCUGUGUUUUCACAAGUUUGCGUUAACUGGAGCAGGAGUGAUUGGAUUAUAAUUAGUUAAAGAUUAUAAUUAGUCUAUGCAACGAAAUGGGAUAACAGCUGGUGACGGCAAGCAUGGGCUCUUUCAUCACUCUUCUCCCUUGAAGAAGACCGGGCGGUUAUUGAAUGGGCACAGGCGAAUCUUAGCCACCCUGACCACAGAUGAACACUUUGAGCACCAUGGAGUGGAUUGUUGGUAAUCUGUCCGAGUCUCACCCAAACCUGAGCAAAGUCGCUACAGUGGGACUGCUUCUACCAACCUCCACAGCUGAUUGUGAGAGAGGUUUCAGCAGUUGAAUGUGUAAAGACCAUUCACCAGUGAGCAUGAAAGUGCUUAAUGCCUUACUCAUGGUGUCCAUGCAGGGAGAAAAACUGAAUGACUUUAAUUUCAGUGGUGCAGUAAAGGAAUGGCACAGAGCCAAAAACAGACACUUACCGGUAUAUGAAAAUAAAAAUGCCUAUGUGUUGUUAGUGUUAGUACAAAAGAAGUGGAAGGACAUAUGUGUUGUUCGAAAAUACAUAUAAAAGAAGUGGACAUCUGUCAUGUCUGUGUAG
rnacentral:lncRNA from 1 species